rnacentral:rRNA from 1 species
CGGGCGACCGGCGCACGGGUGAGUAACCGCGUAUGCAACUUACCUAUCAGGAGGGGGAUAACCCGGCGAAAGUCGGACUAAUACCGCAUGAAGCAGGGGCCCCGCAUGGGGAUAUUUGCUAAAGAUUCAUCGCUGAUAGAUAGGCAUGCGUUCCAUUAGGCAGUUGGCGGGGUAACGGCCCACCAAACCGACGAUGGAUAGGGGUUCUGAGAGGAAGGUCCCCCACAUUGGUACUGAGACACGGACCAAACUCCUACGGAAGGCAGCAG